ensembl:lncRNA
CAAAAUACCACACUUUCAAAUAAAAAACAGAUCAAUAUUAUUGAUCCUUGCUUUAGUUUCUGGCUCAUUUGCACUGUUAAAAUGCAACUUUGGGGGGUUUUUUUGUUCGUUCGUUUGUUUUUUGUCUUUUUUUUUGCCUUUUCUAGGGCCGAUCCCGCGGCAUACGGAGGUUCCCAGGCCAGGGGUGGAAUCGGAGCUGCAGCCACCAGCCUACACCAGAGCCACAGCAACGCGAGAUCCGAGCCGCGUCUGCGACCUACACCACAGCUCAGGCAACGCCAGAUCCUCAACCCACUGAGCGAGGCCAGGGAUCGAACCUGCAGCCUCAUGGUUCCUAGUCAGAUUCGUUUCCUCUGCGUCACGACGGGAACUCCUAAAAUGCAACUUUUGAAGUGUCCACAGCUCCAGGCAUUUACGCACUUGUUUUUAUCCAUAAUGCCCUUCGUUUCUGGGGGAAACGAGAGAGAAAAAAAUACAUGAAGAUGGUUUGGACCAAAAGCUCAUUCAUUCCUGUCUCGGUCUUCAGCAAACCCUUCCAGCUACAAAUUCCCUCCUCCUUUUGGAAAAUCAAAACAUGUUUAACUAGAGACCUCAGUCCGGGAGCUGGACGUUUCCUUCAUCUGGAACAGCGCUCAGUCCUUUUCCUCUGCUGCCCAACGAGCCGGCCGAAGGCGCAGGCCGAGGGGUCGAGCUGGCCCGAGAGCCUGCGGAUGUGUGUGCAUCCUGCCGGAAGCAGCAGGGCUGAGCAGGAAGUUGCAAUUACAAGAGGGCAGGGCUUCUGCAGAAGCUGAGCGGUGCUGGCUCAGAGCAGCCAGGGCUUAUCCAAGGAAGGCAUGUGGAAGCUCCCGGGACCAGGAAUCGAACCGGCGCCACAGCAGUGAGCCGAGCCACUGCAGCAAUAAUGCCAGAUCCUUAACCCUCAGCACCACAAGGGAACUCCUCGACUGCUUCUUAACUUUUCAAGAUAAUUAUCAUUUGGGAUGAAGUUUCUUACUCUUGAAUCAGAGCCAAGGGACCUUUUUUUUUUUUUUCAGUGUUUAAGGAAGAUUUUUCAAAUAUCUCUCAACCCCUCCACGCAGCCUCCACGCACCUCUCUGAAGAGUGACCCAUACCUCGUCACCCACUGGCUUUCAAGAUCGCCACUGACCCCCCGCCUUUUCCUGCAAGGAGCACCGCAGCCCGCAGGGUCAGCUCCAUCCUCCGGAGUCCUCCGGAUGCAGCCCGGCCUGAGGUCCUUCCUGAACACCUGUCGUCAGGACAUCUGGCCCCGACAGGACCCUCCCUGCCCCUCUAGGCUCCAAGGCGCUGAGGAUCACGAGAGUGCCUGUCUGUCCAGUGGUGUCCCCCUGCCACAGCUGUCGCCCACCCACCUUCAAGCAGAACAGAGCAGAGGGUCGAGUCUGUGUCGCAUCAGCUUUAGAUUCCCGCCUCCCUGUCCUGGGCCGCUCGCCACACCUUCGUCCUGGAGGUUCCCGCCAGCUUGUUCACAAACCGAAGGCCUCGGGUUUCUCUCCCCAGACUGUCCCAGCGUCCCCUUCAGAGAGGAGGCUGGCAUCUGA